rnacentral:rRNA from 1 species
GUGGGGAAUAUUGGACAAUGGGCGCAAGCCUGAUCCAGCAAUGCCGCGUGCAGGAAGAAGGCCUUCGGGUUGUAAACUGCUUUUGUACGGAACGAAACGGUCCGGGUUAAUACCCUGGGCUAAUGACGGUACCGUAAGAAUAAGCACCGGCUAACUACGUGCCAGCAGCCGCGGUAAUACGUAGGGUGCAAGCGUUAAUCGGAAUUACUGGGCGUAAAGCGUGCGCAGGCGGUUUUGUAAGACAGGCGUGAAAUCCCCGGGCUCAACCUGGGAAUUGCGCUUGUGACUGCAAGGCUGGAGUGCGGCAGAGGGGGAUGGAAUUCCGCGUGUAGCAGUGAAAUGCGUAGAUAUGCGGAGGAACACCGAUGGCGAAGGCAAUCCCCUGGGCCUGCACUGACGCUCAUGCACGAAAGCGUGGGGAGCAAACAGGAUUAGAAACCCGGGUAGUCC